UGGGGAAUAUUGCGCAAUGGAGGAAACUCUGACGCAGCAACGCCGCGUGGGUGAAGAAGGUCUUCGGAUUGUAAAGCCCUGUCGGGAGGGAAGAAAGGCGCAUGGUGAGUGCGUUUGACGGUACCUUCGAAGGAAGCACUGGCUAACUCCGUGCCAGCAGCCGCGGUAAUACGGAGAGUGCAAACGUUGUUCGGAAUUAUUGGGCGUAAAGGGCGCGUAGGCGGUCUGGUAAGUCGGAUGUGAAAGCCCGGGGCUCAACCCUGGAAGUGCGUUCGAAACUGCUGGACUUGAGUUCAGGAGGGAGAGGUGGAAUUCCUGGUGUAGGGGUGAAAUCCGUAGAUAUCAGGAGGAACACCGGUGGCGAAGGCGACCUCUUGGCCUGACACUGACGCUGAGGCGC
rnacentral:rRNA from 1 species